rnacentral:lncRNA from 1 species
CGGGGCCUUUUAUAGCUUUCUGCAUGUAUAUGGUACAGAUAUUUCUCAUUAUUGACGACCAUAUGGUGGCCUAUAGUUAUUAAUACAUUUUCCUCCUUUGAACUCUUUUGGAUAGCAUUGGUUCUUUGCAAAAAAUACCACAUCCUUUUUUAUAAAUAAGACAGUUAAAGUAACUUAAAUCAAUACAAAUGUAAUGAAAGUGAAUUUAUAUUAAGGAUGUAGUUAGGUGAGGUUAGGUGAAAAAUAAUAAAUCAAGAAUUUAAAAUUGAUACUUUAAGCUGGUAGAGCAUUCUUUAAGGAUAAAAAUAAGCUAAAAAUAUUGAUAGGUCAUGGAGCUCCUUUUCGAGGUAUCUGAGAUUUAAAAUACGGCAGGAAAAGGCUGACUCGGACUUUUACCUUAUAUUUGCAUUGGUAUUAUUUGGGUCCCAAAACAAAAGAAAGAAAAUCAAGAAUCUUCCAAAAUUUUGGUAAAUGACCUUUCAUGAGACAUUAAGUCUUAUAUGAAAAAAUAAAUGGGUGUUAUGGGGCAAAAUAUUUUACCUAGUAUUGUAUGGAAAAACACCAAGGAGUCCGAACAUUUGACAUGAAUUCCAAAACCUCACCUAAGUACAUCCUUAAAGGCUUUUAUCUAAAAUAGGGAACGUGUCCAUGGGACACAAAUGAUGCCCCCGCUAGCAUUAAUGUUAUAAAGGGUCACAACUCAAGAACUGUAAAUGUGCAUGACGCUACCAAAAUGUGUACUUGAUCUGAGUUAUGGGGUAAUAAGCAUUGUGUAUACAUUCUAAUUACACAGUAUUGCGCAAUAGAUUUGUUAGAUCUUGACAUUUGUUUUGUGUCAG